rnacentral:rRNA from 1 species
GAUGAACGCUGGCGGCGUGCUUAACACAUGCAAGUCGAACGAAGCACUUUUACAGAUUUCUUCGGAUUGAAAUUUUAGUGACUGAGUGGCGGACGGGUGAGUAACGCGUGGGUAACCUGCCUCACACAGGGGGAUAACAGUUGGAAACGGCUGCUAAUACCGCAUAAGCGCACAGUACCGCAUGGUACGGUGUGAAAAACUCCGGUGGUGUGAGAUGGACCCGCGUCUGAUUAGCUAGUUGGCAGGGCAACGGCCUACCAAGGCGACGAUCAGUAGCCGACCUGAGAGGGUGACCGGCCACAUUGGGACUGAGACACGGCCCAAACUCCUACGGGAGGCAGCAGUGGGGAAUACUGCACAAUGGGGGAAACCCUGAUGCAGCGACGCCGCGUGAGCGAUGAAGUAUUUCGGUAUGUAAAGCUCUAUCAGCAGGGAAGAAAAUGACGGUACCUGACUAAGAAGCACCGGCUAAAUACGUGCCAGCAGCCGCGGUAA